UAGAACCUCCAGUUUCUAAAUCUACCCCACUUCCAUCUAGCUCCAACAGAUAACUAAAAUCCCAGUUACCCAGAGAUUGCUGAGCUAGUUUUAAGGUAGCUCAAGCUGCUCAGGAUUGUCAUCUACCAGCAAGAAGAUGAGUGCAGGGGAUACAGGGAUGAGGGAAUCUCAAACUCUACAACUGCUUCAGGACAGAAUUAUCUUCCCCUUCAAGAAGAGACAAGAGUUCAAAGAUGGAGCUAUGAGGCAUGAAUAGAGGACCAGAAAGAAAGAGGAAGCAGUGUGGAGACAAUGAAAAGAACAUACCUGUGGAAGACAGGAUACCCUAAUUCAAAUCUUCCCUCUUAUGUUGAUCAUCAGGCUCAUCUUGAGAGAAUCACUUAAUCACGAUCAAUAUCAGGCUUGUCAACUGUAAAAGGAGGGGAUUAGACUUGACUUCUGGGAUUUUUACCAGCUCUUAACUCAGAAGUGAUUUGCAGUUCCAGAGAAAAGUUCUGCCAGUAAAGGAGAUGAGCAAGA